GUGCUCCCCCGCCAAUUCCUUUAAGUUUAAAUCUUGCGAUCGUACUCCCCAGGCGGCAGACUUAACACCUACGCUACAGCACUGCCUGUGAUUACUCACAGGCAACACCACAGUCUGCAUCAUUUACAGCUGGGACUACCGGGGUAUCUAAUCCCGUUCGCUCCCCCAGCUUUCGUCCCUCACCGUCGGACAUGUUUUGGAUCGGCGCCUUCGCCACUGGUGGUCCUUCCAGGCUCAACGGAUUUUACCCCUACCCUGGAAGUACCCCGACCCUCCCCCAUUCCCAAGACUAGCAGUAUCCACUGCACGCGUUAGAGUUGAGCUCCAACAUUUCACAGUGGACUUCAUAGUCCGGCUACGGACGCUUUAGGCCCAAUAUUCGUGGGUACCACUCGAGGCGCUGGUGUUACCGCGGCGGCUGCCACCAGUCUUGCCCACGCCCUUAUUAUCCAAGCUUUUUACACUUGGCAAAAGACGGAAACUAAGUUCCCGCCACUCAGACUUCCCCUGUCACGCUUUCGCGCAUUGCAGAGGUUUCGCGCCUGCUGCACCCCGU
rnacentral:rRNA from 1 species